rnacentral:rRNA from 1 species
UGGGGAAUAUUGGACAAUGGGCGCAAGCCUGAUCCAGCAAUGCCGCGUGAGUGAUGAAGGCCUUAGGGUUGUAAAGCUCUUUCGAUAGGGAAGAAAAUGACGGUACCUAUAUAAGAAGCUCCGGCUAACUCCGUGCCAGCAGCCGCGGUAAUACGGAGGGAGCUAGCGUUUUUCGGAUUUACUGGGCGUAAAGAGCGCGUAGGCGGUCAAUUAAGUUGAAAGUGAAAUCCCAAAGCUUAACUUUGGAACUGCUUUCAAAACUGAUUGACUAGAGUGUGAUAGGGGAUGGUGGAAUUCCUAGUGUAGAGGUGAAAUUCUUAGAGAUUAGGAGGAACACCGGAGGCGAAAGCGACCAUCUGGAUCAUUACUGACGCUGAGGUGCGAAAGCGUGGGGAGCAAA